rnacentral:rRNA from 1 species
GACGAACGCUGGCGGCGUGCUUAACACAUGCAAGUCGAACGGAAAGGCCCUGCUUUUGUGGGGUGCUCGAGUGGCGAACGGGUGAGUAACACGUGAGUAACCUGCCCUUGACUUUGGGAUAACUUCAGGAAACUGGGGCUAAUACCGGAUAGGAGCUCCUGCUGCAUGGUGGGGGUUGGAAAGUUUCGGCGGUUGGGGAUGGACUCGCGGCUUAUCAGCUUGUUGGUGGGGUAGUGGCUUACCAAGGCUUUGACGGGUAGCCGGCCUGAGAGAGUGACCGGCCACAUUGGGACUGAGAUACGGCCCAGACUCCUACGGGAGGCAGCAGUGGGGAAUAUUGCACAAUGGGCGGAAGCCUGAUGCAGCAACGCCGCGUGCGGGAUGACGGCCUUCGGGUUGUAAACCGCUUUCGCCUGUGACGAAGCGUGAGUGACGGUAAUGGGUAAAGAAGCACCGGCUAACUACGUG